rnacentral:rRNA from 1 species
UCCGGGGUUGGAUCCUGCCGGACCCUACUGCUAUCGGGGUGGGACUAAGACAGGCGAGUUGAACGACUUCUAGCCAUGAUGAAGUCGUAGCAUACGGCUCAGUAACACGUGGCUAACCUACCCUUGAGACGGAGACAACCCCGGGAAACUGGGGCUAAUCCCAGAUAGAUGAGAACUCCUGGAACGGGUUCUCGUCCAAAAGGCGUCUAGGCCAUGCUUCUAGAUGUUGCUCAAGGAUGGGGCCGCGGCCGAUCAGGCUGUUGGUGAGGCAACGGCUCACCAAACCUAUAACCGGUACGGGCCGUGGGAGCGGGAGCCCGGAGAUGGGAACUGAGACAAGGUCCCAGGCCCUACGGGGCGCAGCCGUUGCGAAAACUUGUCAAUGCACGAAAGUGUGAACGGGCUACCCCGAGUGCUGUCCGCUGAGGAUGGCUUUUCUCUGCUGUUAGAAGGCGGGGGAAUAAGGAGAGGGCAAGUCUGGUGUCAGCCGCCGCGGUAAUACCAGCUCUCCGAGUGGUGGGGAUGUUUAUUGGGCUUAAAGCGUCCGUAGCCUGCCUUUCAAGUCUCUCGUUAAAUCCGGCGAUUCAAUCGUUGGACUGCGGGAGAUACUGUUAGGCUAGGGGGCGGGAGAAGCCGACGGUAUUUCCGGGGUAGGGGUAAAAUCCUAUAAUCCCGGGAGGACCACCAGUGGCGUAGGCGGUCGGCUAGCACGCGCUCGACGGUGAGGGACGAAAGCUGGGGGAGCAAACCGGAUUAGAUACCCGGAUAGUCCCAGCUGUAAACGAUGCGGGCUAGGUGUUGGGGUGGCCACGAGCCACUUCAGUGCCGCAGGGAAGCCAUUAAGCCCGCCGCCUGGGGAGUACGGCCGCAAGGCUGAAACUUAAAGGAAUUGGCGGGGGAGCACCACAAGGGGUGAAGCUUGCGGUUCAAUUGGAGUCAACGCCGGG